rnacentral:rRNA from 1 species
GAUCCUGGCUCAGGAUGAACGCUGGCGGCGUGCCUAACACAUGCAAGUCGAGCGAGAAGUAAAGAAAUGAAGCUUCGGUAGAUUUUCAUUAUGGAAAGCGGCGGACGGGUGAGUAACGCGUAGGCAACCUGCCCUGUACAGGGGGAUAGCCACCCGAAAAGGUGAUUAAUACCCCAUGAUGCAAGAGAUACACAUGUAUCACUUGUCAAAGAUUUAUCGGUAUGGGAUGGG